rnacentral:rRNA from 1 species
GGAGGGUGCAAGCGUUAUCCGGAUUCACUGGGUUUAAAGGGUGCGUAGGCGGACCUGUAAGUCAGUGGUGAAAUCUCCGGGCUUAACCCGGAAACUGCCAUUGAUACUAUAGGUCUUGAAUGUCCUGGAGGUCUGCGGAAUAUGUCAUGUAGCGGUGAAAUGCUUAGAGAUGACAUAGAACAUCUAUUGCGAAGGCAGCAGGCUACGGGAAAAUUGACGCUGAGGCACGAAAGCGUGGGGAUCAAACAGGAUUAGAUACCCUGGUAGUCCACGCCCUAAACGAUGAUUACUCGACAUACGCGAUACACAGUGUGUGUCUGAGCGAAAGCAUUAAGUAAUCCACCUGGGAAGUACGACCGCAAGGUUGAA